CGCUACUAUCAUCGUUGUUAGCGUUUCCCUCUGACGCAUCGAGUCGCCAGCUGUUCUUUGUCGGCAGUGCGAUUACGCACGGGCACGGCGAAUGGAAGGUCCGUUCCUGCACGCCGAUUGGUCAAUCCUACUUGCUCCGUCGCUAGCGCUCACUACGACACGCGACGACAACGCCAUCUUCAACAUCAGCGCCUCGAAUCAGACAACGAAAACAAAAAUAUAUAGAACGAAGAUGGAUGAUGUCUGUGAUUCGACCAAUAAGAGAUUAAAAAUAACGGGUUGCGCGGCUCUUUGACGCUUCGGCGAAGGCGGGGACCGUCCGGCUUGCGUCCUGGGAUGGCAUGCACAGAACACAGCACCAAACGCCAUACGGUUACACAGAGACAGACAAAAUCCACAGAUAGAAGAAAAGAUAGAGAAAGUUGGGUUGGGAUCGGAAAGGAGCGAGUGGGGGAGGGCUUGAAAUAGAUUACAAGGUGAGUUAAGAGAAAGAGAGAAGGGGAGUGAGAGAGAAAGAGUGGGAGAGAAAGAUAGAUAGAUAGAUGGAUAGAGAGAGAGAGAGAGAGAGAGAGAGAGAGAGA